UAGAUCCUACGGGGGGCAGCAGUAGGGAAUAUUGCUCAAUGGGGGAAACCCUGAAGCAGCAACGCCGCGUGGAGGAUGAAGGUUUUCGGAUUGUAAACUCCUUUUGUUAGAGAAGAUAAUGACGGUAUCUAACGAAUAAGCACCGGCUAACUCCGUGCCAGCAGCCGCGGUAAUACGGAGGGUGCAAGCGUUACUCGGAAUCACUGGGCGUAAAGAGCGCGUAGGCGGGUUAGAAAGUCAGAAGUG
rnacentral:rRNA from 1 species